rnacentral:rRNA from 1 species
UACGGAGGGGGCGAGCGUUAUUCGGAAUUAUUGGGCGUAAAGGGUGCGUAGGCGGCUGAACAAGUCAAAGGUGAAAUCCCUCGGCUCAACUGAGGAACUGCCUUUGAAACUGUUCGGCUUGAGGCCGGGAGGGGGUAGCGGAAUUCCCAGUGUAGCGGUGAAAUGCGUAGAUAUUGGGAGGAACACCAGUGGCGAAGGCGGCUACCUGGACCGGUUCUGACGCUGAGGCGCGAAAGCGUGGGUAGCAAACAGG